rnacentral:rRNA from 1 species
AGAGUUUGAUCCUGGCUCAGAACGAUUUCUGGUAGCGUGGAUUAGGCAUGCAAGUCGAACGGGAUCCGGCUGGUAGCAAUACUAGUUGGUGAGAGUGGCGGAUUGGGGAGGAACACGUGAGCAACCUGCCUUUGAGUGGGGGAAAACCGGUGGAAACGCCGGCUAAUACCGGAUGCGGCGCCGAACGGCAUCGUUCGAGCGCCAAAGGGGGCCGCAAGGCUCCCGCCCACCGAGGAGCUCGCGCAUCAUCAGCUUGUUGGCGGGGUAACGGCCCACCAAGGCUCACGAUUAGCUGGUCUGAGAGGAUGGCCAGCCGCACUGGGACUGAGAUACUGCCCAGACUCCUACGGGAGGCUGCAGUCGAGGAUCAUUUGCAAUGGGGGAAACCCUGACAAUGCGACGCUGCGUGGAGGAUGAAGGCCUUCGGGUUGUAAACUCCUGUCAUAAGGGAACAGGCGAUGUGACCUAAUACGUCACAAAGUUGAGUGUACUUUAAGAGGAAGCGACGGCUAACUCUGUGCCAGCAGCCGCGGUAAUACAGAGGUCGCGAGCGUUGUUCGGAUUUACUGGGCGUAAAGGGCGCGUAGGCGGCGAAGCGUGUCGGAUGUGAAAUCUCCGGGCCCAACCCGGAAAGUGCGUCCGAAACUGCUCCGCUCGAGGACGGAAGAGGGAAUCGGAAUACAGGGUGUAGCGGCGAAAUGCGUUGAUAUCCUGUAGAACACCGGAGGGGAAGGCGGAUUCCUGGUACGUAUCUGACGCUGAGGCGCGAAAGUCGGGGGAGCAAACAGGAUUAGAUACCCUGGUAGUCCCGACCUUAAACGGUGCA